GAUGAACGCUGGCGGUGUGGAUAAGGCAUGCAAGUCGAGCGCUUACCUUCGGGUAAGAGCGGCGAACGGGUUAGUAACGCGUAGGUAUCUACCUUGAAGUCUGGAAUAACUCGGAGAAAUCCGAGCUAAUACCAGAUAGUCCCGCAAGGGUAAAAUUAUCGCUUUUGCGAUUUUGCUUUAAGAGGAACCUGCGUCCUAUCAGCUUGUUGGUGAGGUAAUGGCUCACCAAGGCUAUGACAGGUAGGGGGCGUGAGAGCGUGACCCUCAACAAUGGGACUGAGACACGGCCCAUACACCUACGGGUGGCAGCAGUCGAGAAUCUUCCACAAUGGGCGAAAGCCUGAUGGAGUAACACCGCGUGAACGAAGACGCCCUUCGGGGUGUAAAGUUCUUUUAUGUCAGAAAAAUAUCCGUUUACGGAUAUGAUGGUAUGACAAGAAUAAGGGGCGGCUAACUUCGUGCCAGAAGCCUCGGUAAUACGAAGGCCCCAAGCGUUAUCCGGAAUUAUUGGGCGUAAAGCGUGUGUAGGCGGUUUUAAUAGUGGCUGGUUAAAUUUUAGGGCUCAACCCUGAAGCCGCCAGUCAAACGUUAAGACUAGAGCAAGUGAGAGGCUGAUGGAACUUACCAAGUAGGGGUGAAAUCCGUUGAUAUGGUAGGGAACACCAAAGGCGAAGGCAAUCAGCUGGUGCUUAGCUGACGCUGAGACACGAAAGCGUGGGUAGCGAACGGGAUUAGAUACCCCGGUAGUCCACGCCGUAAACGAUGCCAACUAGCCGUUUGAAGUAUCGACCCUUCGAGUGGCAAAGCUAACGCGUUAAGUUGGCCGCCUGGGAACUACGGCCGCAAGGCUAAAACUCAAAGGAAUAGACGGGGACUUGCACAAGCGGUGGAUCAUGUGGUUUAAUUCGAUACUACGCGAGGAACCUUACCAGGGCUAGACAUCCUAAUGAAAUCUUAUCGAAAGAUAGGACCUCUUUAUGACAUUAGGGUCAGGUGAUGCACGGUUGUCGUCAGUCUGAGUUGUGAAAUGCUCCCUUAAAUGGGGUAUCAGACGCAACCCUCGUCCUGUGUUACAAGUGUCACAGGAGACUGCCUCUGAAUAGGGGGAGGAAGGCGAGGAUGACGCCAAAUCAGCGUGUCCCUUUGAUGUCCUGGGCGACACACAUGAUACAAUGGCCAAGACAAUGGGUUGCCAAGCCGUAAGGCGGAGCCAAUCCCAUCAAACUUGGUCCCAGUUCGGAUUGAGGGCUGCAAUUCGCCCUCAUGAAGUUGGAAUCGCUAGUAAUCGCGAAUCAGCCAUGUCGCGGUGAAUACGUUCUCAAGUCUUGUACUCACUGCCCGUCAAAUCAGGGAAGUCGGUAGUGCCCGAAAUCUCUCUUUUAAGAGGGCCUAAGGU
rnacentral:rRNA from 1 species